AUAUUGGAAUAGAUUUUAAGUGUAUAUUAACAGAUUUCGCAAACGUAAACGUCAUUGUUUCCUUCAACUUGGUAGAGAUAAAAAUGAAGACUUUCCUCUUACACUUUCUGUUCAACAUUUGACAUAUACUUGAAUGAUACUCACCGCUUGUCCGCUCCAAUUAUACGUCAAGUGAUUAAAUGCAGGUAUUCGUAACAUCGAGCUCCUAUUCUAUGCUUGAAAUGCUUCAAACUUGCCCAGCGGAUGAAGUACACGAGCGUACUUUGUUCCUCCAGUCGUAAAUAAACUCGCGAUUAUAUUCCCGUGCACAUGUGUGUCAGAAGGAGAUAAAUACGUGUGAAAGCCUAACCGUACCGCGACUUUAGAGACACCAUGUAGUCUAAUUACUUAGUUGUACCGUAAUUAGGGGUACAUGACACUUAAAUUUGUAUAUUUCACGUAAAUAUCAGCAGAUAGAGCGAGUGAGAAAGAGAGAUACCCUAAGGUAAGAUUGAUAAGAUCUACUACUUGCUGUAUUCACGGCACGGGCACCUUAAGGCUGAACUUCAUGAAUGCCUUUUUGAAAAUGGCUGCCUUUAUAAAUUUAGGCUGAGAUUACAAUUCAUACGACAAAAUGUUUGUCGGCCAUAGCGAUUGGUUAUCAAAUAGAGUAAAAAAAGAUAUAUCGAUAGUCACGUCCGUAAUAUUCUAAAAUAUUUAAAUAUAUAAACAUAUGUAUAUAUACAGGGUGUUUCAGAAAUAGAUCGAGUAUGCCGGUGUACAAGUACUUCAGGAAAGCUUUGUACACCACGUAAGAAAACUGAUUGUGCUGGAUAAUACUGUCGAAGAAGAUGACAAGAUAAUUAAGUUCAGAAAAGAAACAUAUAUAAAA